CGUAAACUUUCCUGUUUUACAAAGUUUUUCAACAAUUUUUUCCAAUUAUUAAAAAAACUAUAUCGAAAAUUAAAAUUCAACUAAAAUGUCUCUUUUCAUUUAUUUGAUCGGAGCAAGAUUUCCGGUAGAAAAGUUGUUUACAGGAACAAAACUAAAAAAAACAAUCGCAAACUUCGUAAUAAAAUCAACACAUUUCUCGCUACGUUUAGAAUUAAAAAUAAAAUAAUAAAUAUGCCGGUCUUGAAAUAAUAAUGUGCAGAUGGGUUAAUGGAUAUAUCGUCGCCGUCGUGCAAAAAGUGACCUAGUAUAAAAAAAAAAUAAAUACAUAUUCAAAUGCCUUAUUUUGAUCCCUACGCGAAAAAAGCGUUCAAGUGAUACCAUAUAAGUUUGGAACAGUUCAGAAACCUCUCAACACGUCAUAAUUCUUGAUUGAAAUCGAAAUGGAAUACAGUUUAAAUCGCGAGUUUUAAAUUAAAAAAAAAAAUAAAUUAUCGCGUGCACGUUUAGCGCGACAUAUAGCGCGUCAAAAUCGUCGUACAAGCAAUCGUGUUUGCCGGUAUCCGCGCACGUGUACAAUUUGUUCUAUCUGACAAUAACGAAUAAGCGUCAUUGAAGUCUCGCUGCAGUCGAUAUCACUUGACACAACUUUUCGCUAUGUCGUUGUUUUAUCGCCGGGCGGAUCGUUCCGCCUAAAAUCAAAAUUAAGUUAGUUUCGCUUAGUUUGAGU